UAGGGAAUAUUAGAAAUGGACGAAAGUCUGAUCUAGCAACACCGCGUGUGCGAAGAAGGCCUUCGGGUUGUAAAGCACUUUUUGAGAGGAUGAGGAAGGACGGUACUCUCAGAAUAAGUCUCGGCUAACUACGUGCCAGCAGCCGCGGUAACACGUAGGAGGCAAACGUUAUCCGGAUUUACUGGGCGUAAAGCGCGUGUAGGUGGUUUGGUAAGUAGAGCGUGAAAGCUCCUGGCUCAACUGGGAGAGGUCGUUCUAAACUGCCGGACUAGAGAAUGGUAGAGGGAGGUGGAAUUCCGGGUGUAGUGGUGAAAUGCGUAGAUAUCCGGAGGAACACCAGUGGCGAAAGCGGCCUCCUGGGCCAUUUCUGACGCUAAGACGCGAAAGCUAGGGUAGCAAACG
rnacentral:rRNA from 1 species